rnacentral:rRNA from 1 species
UACGAAGGGGGCUAGCGUUGUUCGGAAUCACUGGGCGUAAAGGGUGGGCAGGCGGGUCCAUCAGUCAGGGGUGAAAUCCCGAGGCUCAACCUCGGAACUGCCCUUGAUACUGUGGGUCUUGAGUCCGGAAGAGGUGAGUGGAACUGCGAGUGUAGCGGUGAAAUGCGUAGAUAUUCGCAAGAACACCAGUGGCGAAGGCGGCUCACUGGUCCGGAACUGACGCUGAGGCACGACAGCGUGGGGAGCAAACAGG